CGGAUUUGGCGGCAAGAUAGCUUUUUAGAGGAACCUGCCCUGUGAACGAUGAUCCACGAGAGCCUUACUUUAUUUUGAAACCAGUUUGUAUACCGCUGUUGUCAGUUAGAUUUUUGAGAAUAUUUUCUUUUUGGUAAAGCCAAUGACUUCAAGUAAAGGUGCAGCUUAUAAUAAAGAUAGAGGUGGGUUACAAUUAUAAGAAUAAUACGGAUUAAGGGCUUAAUUAACUUAUGAAGGUGGAUUUAACUGUAAA
rnacentral:rRNA from 1 species